rnacentral:rRNA from 1 species
AUUGAACGCUGGCGGCAGGCCUAACACAUGCAAGUCGAGCGGAGCGGCGGACGGGUGAGUAAUGCCUAGGAAUCUGCCUGGGAGUGGGGGAUAACGUCCGGAAACGGGCGCUAAUACCGCAUACUAUCAGAUGAGCCUAGGUCGGAUUAGCUAGUUGGUGGGGGAAAGGCCUACCAAGGCGACGAUCCGGAACUGGGCUGAGAGGAUGAUCAGUCACACUGGGAGUGGGAAACGGUCCAGACUCCUACGGGAGGCAGCAGUGGGAAAUAUGGGACGAUGGGGGAAAGCCUGAGCCAGCCAGGCCGCGGGUGUGAAGAAGUUCUUCGGAUUGUAAAGCACUUUAAGUUGGGAGGCGUUACCAACAGAAUAAGCACCGGCUAACUUCGUGCCAGCAGCCGCGGUAAUAC